GCGAAAAUGUGCUCUUAUCACGAUUUCAUCACUUCGAAGGAAAGUUUGAUCGAAUUAGAAGUUGUUCUUAGCAAAGUUGUACUUUUGAGUAAUUAAAGGCUACGUUGAAAUUAACUAACGUGUUAAUACACUCUUUAGCGAUUUCUACAGUGCCAGCUGUAUUGAAACGAGUAAGUAAACCUUCAAUUACGUAGCAUUUAGUCCAAACUAAUAUCAAACAAUAUACCAAUCUGACUUCGAUUUUUAACAGAAAAAUGGAAGCGGAAAUGAACAACGGUGACCAUAACAACCACGAGCACACCAUCGCCAACCAACGAAUCCGUCAAACCUGCAAAAUUACAAAAAGACAUGGCGAAAUAUAUCGGAAAUGCUACGUGCAAAAUGGUAACGGUCCAGAAACGAUGAAAUGGAUCAAGUUAGAGUUCCUGCAAUGGUGGGACGAGCUGACUGAAAAUACGGAUCAUUACGAAGAGUAACUAGUUAAUACGAUAACGACGGCGUAGAAACUCCAGCGAAUCGACGUAUUUGCGGGUGAAUCAGCGCACCAGAUUGCGACGAAUGAAACACAUACAAGAUGUGAUCAUUGUCGUGAUAAUUUUAGUCAUAUCAUAUUAAUUUGCAUUUUCGUACUUGUCUUUCAUACCUUAAAUAUAGAUGUAUUAUAUACUG